rnacentral:rRNA from 1 species
UACGGAAGGUCCGGGCGUUAUCCGGAUUUAUUGGGUUUAAAGGGAGCGCAGGCUGAUUGGUAAGCGUGUUGUGAAAUGUACCGGCUCAACCGGUGAGCUGCAGCGCGAACUGCCGAUCUUGAGUGAGUACGACGGAGGCGGAAUUUGUGGUGUAGCGGUGAAAUGCUUAGAUAUCACGAAGAACCCCGAUUGCGAAGGCAGCCUCCGAGUCCUUAACUGACGCUAAAGCUCGAAAGUGCGGGUAUCGAAC